GGCCCGGCAGCGACCGUCCUCCUUAAAGGGGCCGCGUGCUGACCCGAGCGCUGCCUGAGCAGAGGGGCUCCUAGGGGGUGGUCCUAUGGCCCGCGCCUGACCCACGGAAGUGGAAGGCGGUGUCCCGGGACAUUUAAUUAACUCUCACACAGACCGCGUGGGCCCCCACCCAAGGGUCGGUAGGGACAGCGGGCAGCUGGGCCCUUGCCAAGGAAGGCAUCCCCUCUGGAGUUAAUCAGGGGAUCCUGCUUACAGCGACCACCUAGCCUCUCCACCAAAGCCCAUUUGACUUAGAAACCACCGUCUAAUUCAUUCAGCAGGGGUGAUCAUGCCCACCCAGAAUCGGUAAGGUGAAGCCCCAGCCUCCAGUGUGUCUGGACGUGGAGAUGGCAUCUACAGGGAGAAAUCAAAGAAGAGGUCAUUUGAAUGGACAGAAGGUGGCCGUGGACAAGCCGGGAAGAGAGCGCUUUCACCAGAAACCAGACCCUGUGGGAACUUGAUCUCAGACUGUGGGUGUCCAGAACUGCGAGAAAUAAAUUUCUGUUGUUUAAGACACCUCUUGUGUGC